rnacentral:rRNA from 1 species
GCAUAUCAAUAAGCGGAGGAAAAGAAACCAACAGGGAUUGCCUCAGUAACGGCGAGUGAAGCGGCAACAGCUCAAAUUUGAAAUCUGGCCCUCUCGGGGUCCGAGUUGUAAUUUGGAGAAGAUGCUUCGGGUGCGGCGCCGGUCUAAGUUCCUUGGAACAGGACGUCACAGAGGGUGAGAAUCCCGUACGUGCCCGGUGGCCGCCCUAUGUGAAGCUCUUUCGACGAGUCGAGUUGUUUGGGAAUGCAGCUCAAAAUGGGUGGUAAAUUUCAUCUAAAGCUAAAUACUGGCCAGAGACCGAUAGCGCACAAGUAGAGUGAUCGAAAGAUGAAAAGCACUUUGGAAAGAGAGUUAAACAGUACGUGAAAUUGUUGAAAGGGAAGCGCUUGCAACCAGACUUGCGCGCGGUCGAUCAUCCGGUGCUCGCACCGGUGCACUCGGCCGCGCGCAGGCCAGCAUCGGCCUGGGUGGCUGGACAAAGGCCUCGGGAAUGUGGCUCCCUCCGGGGAGUGUUAUAGCCCGAGGCGCAAUGCAGCCCACCUGGACCGAGGACCGCGCUCCGGCUAGGAUGCUGGCGUAAUGGUUGCAAGCGACCCGUCUUGAAACACGGACCAAGGAGUCUAACAUCUAUGCGAGUGUUUGGGUGUCAAACCCAUACGCGCAAUGAAAGUGAACGGAGGUGAGAACCCUGAAGGGCGCAUCAUCGACCGAUCCUGAUGUCUUCGGAUGGAUUUGAGUAAGAGCAUAGCUGUUGGGACCCGAAAGAUGGUGAACUAUGCCUGAAUAGGGUGAAGCCAGAGGAAACUCUGGUGGAGGCUCGCAGCGGUUCUGACGUGCAAAUCGAUCGUCAAAUUUGGGCAUAGGGGCGAAAGACUAAUCGAACCAUCUAGUAGCUGGGUCUGCG